AACAACAGCUUUAUGGCGAACAUGCCUUUACC
rnacentral:piRNA from 1 species